AUUGAACGCUGGCGGCAGGCUUAACACAUGCAAGUCGAACGAGUGGCGAACGGGUGAGUAAUGUAUCGGAACGUGCCCAGUAGCGGGGGAUAACUACGCGAAAGCGUAGCUAAUACCGCGUACCAUAGGAUAAGCCCAAGUGGGAUUAGGUAGUUGGUGAGGUAAAGGCUCUCCAAGCCGACGAUCUCUAGCUGGUCUGAGAGGAUGACCAGCCACACUGGGACUGAGACACGGCCCAGACUCCUACGGGAGGCAGCAGUGGGGAAUAUUGCGCAAUGGGGGCAACCUGACGCAGCCAUGCCGCGUGAAUGAAGAAGGCCUUCGGGUUGUAAAGUUCUUUCGGUAGCGAGGCGUUAACUACAGAAGAAGCACCGGCUAACUCCGUGCCAGCAGCCGCGGUAAUUC
rnacentral:rRNA from 1 species